rnacentral:rRNA from 1 species
GGAGGAAAGUAGGGGAUCGUAAGACCUUGCGCUUUUGGAGUGGCCGAUGCCUGAUUAGCUAGUUGGUGGAGUAAGAGCCUACCAAGGCGACGAUCAGUAGUUGGUCUGAGAGGGCGACCAGCCACACUGGGACUGAGACACGGCCCAGACUCCUACGGGAGGCAGCAGUGGGGAAUUUUGGACAAUGGGCGAAAGCCUGAUCCAGCAAUGCCGCGUGAGUGAAGAAGGCCUUCGGGUUGUAAAGCUCUUUCGGUCGAGAAGAAAAGGUUGCGACUAAUAAUCGCAACUUAUGACGGUAUCGACAGAAGAAGCACCGGCUAACUACGUGCCAGCAGCCGCGGUAAUACGUAGGGUGCGAGCGUUAAUCGGAAUUACUGGGCGUAAAGGGUGCGCAGGCGGCUCUGUAAGUCAGAUGUGAAAUCCCCGGGCUUAACCUGGGAAUUGCGUUUGAAACUACAAAGCUAGA